UUCUUUUUUUUUUCUUAAAUUAUUUCUGUAUUUAUUUUUUCUUCUGUGGCAACGGCAACUUUUUACUUUAACAUUUAAUGCUUCUCUGCCCUUCUAUACUUUUUUUUUUCCUUGCUUUUUUUUUUCUUCAUCUUACACAAGUAAUUAGGUUCUUUUUUUUAACUUCUGUAUUAACUGAGUAACUGUUUUCCAGUUCCCAUUGCCCGAGAUUUUUCCCUGCUUCAGUGACUCCAUUUCAGUGGUUAAUGCUUUCUGAACCCGUAUGACUUACAGAUAUAUAUUAGUCAUUUAUGACAACAGUCAAGAAUUACGUGCGAAGAGCUUGAUCUUCACCAUAUGUACAAGAAGGAUCUAAUGUCCCCUGGAGGCUGAUUCUGCAAACAGGGAGCAUAACUUCUGCUACACGUGGGAGCAAAAUUCACAAAGGAAUGAAGAACAGGGGAAGAACAUAUCAGUUUACCACUGUGUCCAUCUCCGUCUAAUAAUAAAUAUUCAGACAGCAAAUAAUUUAGGGGAUGUAGUGAAUUGGAGACCUCAAAGAAGAGAAAAACAAAAUGAGAAAUUAAAGACUCUUGGAGCACACAGAAUUUCAGAAGAAUAAUCCAGGCUGAUAAUGUUCCAGCAGCAAGAGGAACUGAACAGUGAUAAAGAGAAAUACCAGUACAUUCCCAAUCCAAUUCUCACAAUAUUCAAGGGCAUUCAGAAUGAAAAGACUGCCCUCCUUUUGACUGCAGAGCAGUCAGAGUCCAUGUCUUCUCAAUGCAGACAGAGGUGUUUACUAUAUUUAGGCUCUUAACUCAUGUUUCUAUAUUUCAAUACCUAAAUAUAAGUGGCCUGAUUUUUUCAAAGAUGUUGAGAGAUUUUUUUUUUUUCUUUUUUCUUUUUCUUUCUUUUGGCAUUUAGAGAAAAACGGACUCCUUUGGUUAAAUAUCUAACAAUGGUAGUCAAAGUUCUGCUCUUAUAAACCAAGGCCUUGAAGUCUGUUUUGUAAUACAUCUGGAAAUACCAUUCUGACACACAGAGAUGGAGGAUGCUGCAACAGAUAAUGAAAAACGUCCUUGUUUCCCAGUGUGCAGAACAUUUAUUUCCCCCUCCCCCCCCCCCCCCCGGAAUUCAACAAAAGCAAAAUAAAGGAGUUUACCAGGAAUAGUGGAUUUGAAACACCCUAUUUGAAAAUAAUACAAAAUAAGCUAGAGUGAAGCUCUUUCUUCAAGUACAACCAACAUUCCCUGUGUAAUUCAAAUAUUAACAUGCUGAAUACCUGAUCAAAUAUAGGUAUUUAAAGAUGGCAUUAAUUUGAUAAAAUAAAUUUAUUUAAUCUAAUCACAGAUGCUAUUGAUGGUGACUUGGCAGGUGAAAGGACAAAAGAGGAUGACUUUGAAAACUUUAAAGCUUUUCUGAAGGGAGAACAGCUUCCUGAUAUCUGAUCUUUCAUGCUAAGACCCCCUAACUAAAUAAAUUCCUAAACGUAUGCACUUGAAUGGAGAUUAUGACUCACAAAAUAUAUAUGUAUAUUGCAGGAUAACUCACAGAACAGCUGUACUAUGAAUGUUCAAAUAAAAUGUGUCUACAAUUAAAACUGAAUAUAUACCGACUUCAUUAACUUAACAGCUGCACCAAUAACCAAUACCAUGGAACAUACUCUACUUUGUUAAUGUCUCAAUACCAUCUGCAACAAUCAAAACUAUUGGGUUUUAAAACACAAGAUGUCUUACCAGUAUUGUGAUCACAGCUACCUCAGUAUGCUUACAUGUUCUACUGAAGCAAAUUGAUCUAUUUCAAAGGAACUUCAAGGUUAUGUGCUGCAAGAUAAUUUCCUAAUGGAAGUAUGUUUGCACUGAAGUCAGAAACAGAAAAUCCUGAUGUCCUCUUUCUAUUUCUCAUGUCAGUUUCUCAAAUGAAUUAACAAAAACUCAACAAAUAUGGGGAAGUGGACUGUAGUAGUAUAGGAAACUCUUAUGCUAACAAUUACUUUCUGACUCUGUGACACUGCAAACCUGCCAUUUUCAUUCAUAUUUUGAAGUGUAAAUUCCAUCUUUUAAAAGAAAACCACACACGCACACAAAUCAGAAAUCCCAACAUACAGGAUCAUAAUGACAUUCAAGUAAAUGUACCAGAUUUUUAAGUAUAUUAGAUUUUAAAAGGAGCAUUACAAGAAGUGUAAAAACGCAUACCAACUAGGCGUGAUUCCAUUGGAUUUGUACAG
ensembl:lncRNA